rnacentral:rRNA from 1 species
AAUCAACGCUGGCGGCGCGCCUAACACAUGCAAGUCGAACGAGAACGGUUUCCCUUUCAGCAAUGGAAGGGAAGCUUAGUAAAGUGGCGAACGGGUGAGUAACACGUAGGUACCUACCCUCGAGCGGGGGAUAACCCGGGGAAACCUGGGCUAAUACCGCAUAACAUCCCUCGGGAUCAAAGGAGCAAUUCGCUUGAGGAUGGGCCUGCGGCCGAUUAGCUAGUUGGCGGGGUAACGGCCCACCAAGGCGAUGAUCGGUAGCCGGUCCGAGAGGACGCACGGCCACACUGGAACUGAAACACGGUCCAGACUCCUACGGGAGGCAGCAGUGGGGAAUCUUGCACAAUGGGGGAAACCCUGAUGCAGCGACGCCGCGUGAGUGAUGAAGCCCUUCGGGGUGUAAAGCUCUUUCGGUGGGGACGAAUUAAGACGGUACCCGCAAAAGAAGCCCCGGCUAACUACGUGCCAGCCGCCGCCGUAAGAC